GGGUGAUGGCGUGCCUUUUGUAGAAUGAACCGGCGAGUUACGAUCCCGUGCGAGGUUAAGCUGAAGAGGCGGAGCCGCAGCGAAAGCGAGUCUGAAUAGGGCGUUUAGUACGUGGUCGUAGACCCGAAACCAGGUGAUCUACCCAUGUCCAGGGUGAAGUUCAGGUAACACUGAAUGGAGGCCCGAACCCACGCACGUUGAAAAGUGCGGGGAUGAGGUGUGGGUAGCGGAGAAAUUCCAAUCGAACCUGGAGAUAGCUGGUUCUCCCCGAAAUAGCUUUAGGGCUAGCCUUAAGUGUAAGAGUCUUGGAGGUAGAGCACUGAUUGGACUAGGGGUCCUCAUCGGAUUACCGAAUUCAGUCAAACUCCGAAUGCCAAUGACUUAUCCUUAGGAGUCAGACUGCGAGUGAUAAGAUCCGUAGUCAAAAGGGAAACAGCCCAGACCGCCAGCUAAGGUCCCAAAGUGUGUAUUAAGUGGAAAAGGAUGUGGAGUUGCUUAGACAACUAGGAUGUUGGCUUAGAAGCAGCCACCAUUUAAAGAGUGCGUAAUAGCUCACUAGUCGAGUGACUCUGCGCCGAAAAUGUACCGGGGCUAAAUACACCACCGAAGCUGCGGAUUGAUACCAAUGGUAUCAGUGGUAGGGGAGCGUUCUAAGGACAGUGAAGUCAGACCGGAAGGACUGGUGGAGUGCUUAGAAGUGAGAAUGCCGGUAUGAGUAGCGAAAGACGGGUGAGAAUCCCGUCCACCGAAUGCCUAAGGUUUCCUGAGGAAGGCUCGUCCGCUCAGGGUUAGUCAGGACCUAAGCCGAGGCCGACAGGCGUAGGCGAUGGACAACAGGUUGAUAUUCCUGUACCACCUCUUUAUCGUUUGAGCAAUGGAGGGACGCAGAAGGAUAGAAGAAGCGUGCGAUUGGUUGUGCACGUCCAAGCAGUUAGGCUGAUAAGUAGGCAAAUCCGCUUAUCGUGAAGGCUGAGCUGUGAUGGGGAAGCUCCUUAUGGAGCGAAGUCUUUGAUUCCCCGCUGCCAAGAAAAGCUUCUAGCGAGAUAAAAGGUGCCUGUACCGCAAACCGACACAGGUAGGCGAGGAGAGAAUCCUAAGGUGUGCGAGAGAACUCUGGUUAAGGAACUCGGCAAAAUGACCCCGUAACUUCGGGAGAAGGGGUGCUUUCUUAACGGAAAGCCGCAGUGAAUAGGCCCAAGCGACUGUUUAGCAAAAACACAGCUCUCUGCGAAGCCGUAAGGCGAAGUAUAGGGGGUGACACCUGCCCGGUGCUGGAAGGUUAAGGAGAGGGGUUAGCGUAAGCGAAGCUCUGAACUGAAGCCCCAGUAAACGGCGGCCGUAACUAUAACGGUCCUAAGGUAGCGAAAUUCCUUGUCGGGUAAGUUCCGACCCGCACGAAAGGUGUAACGAUUUGGGCACUGUCUCAACCAGAGACUCGGUGAAAUUAUAGUACCUGUGAAGAUGCAGGUUACCCGCGACAGGACGGAAAGACCCCGUGGAGCUUUACUGUAGCCUGAUAUUGAAUUUUGGUACAGUUUGUACAGGAUAGGCGGGAGCCUUUGAAACCGGAGCGCUAGCUUCGGUGGAGGCGCUGGUGGGAUACCGCCCUGACUGUAUUGAAAUUCUAACCUACGGGUCUUAUCGACCCGGGAGACAGUGUCAGGUGGGCAGUUUGACUGGGGCGGUCGCCUCCUAAAGUGUAACGGAGGCGCCCAAAGGUUCCCUCAGAAUGGUUGGAAAUCAUUCGUAGAGUGCAAAGGCAUAAGGGAGCUUGACUGCGAGACCUACAAGUCGAGCAGGGACGAAAGUCGGGCUUAGUGAUCCGGUGGUUCCGCAUGGAAGGGCCAUCGCUCAACGGAUAAAAGCUACCCCGGGGAUAACAGGCUUAUCUCCCCCAAGAGUCCACAUCGACGGGGAGGUUUGGCACCUCGAUGUCGGCUCAUCGCAUCCUGGGGCUGUAGUCGGUCCCAAGGGUUGGGCUGUUCGCCCAUUAAAGCGGUACGCGAGCUGGGUUCAGAACGUCGUGAGACAGUUCGGUCCCUAUCCGUCGUGGGCGUAGGAAAUUUGAGAGGAGCUGUCCUUAGUACGAGAGGACCGGGAUGGACGCACCGCUGGUGUACCAGUUGUUCUGCCAAGGGCAUAGCUGGGUAGCUAUGUGCGGAAGGGAUAAGUGCUGAAAGCAUCUAAGCAUGAAGCCCCCCUCAAGAUGAGAUUUCCCAUAGCGUAAGCUAGUAAGAUCCCUGAAAGAUGAUCAGGUUGAUAGGUUCGAGGUGGAAGCAUGGUGACAUGUGGAGCUGACGAAUACUAAUAGAUCGAGGACUUAACCAU
rnacentral:rRNA from 1 species